rnacentral:lncRNA from 1 species
AUAUACGGGACUGAAGAUUGGGUGAACUAUCAAGGAGCCCAAGACACUACUAAGGUUUGUUCACUUCUGCCAAACAUAAGAAGUCAACAGACAUUGUGCAUUUUUCCAUGUAAAGCUUUUAUAUUGGAACCUUAAAUGGAGUAAGUUAGAACCCAAAUGGCUAUAUCUUCCUGUCAGACUCCUUAUCUUGGCUGCAUUUCUGUCAUAUACAGGGUGGACAUUUCGUGUUCCUUGAAAACACAGAGGGAUUCCAUUCGGCCGUGUCAUAUGUGCAUGUAGGAGAUUUCUCUCACCUAACCCUGAUACUCAACCCUUGCCUUAAGGCUUGGAAUCAGCUUAGAAUAAAGUAUUGUAAUUUCUUCACCCACACUUUUUUGUAUAAUACAUAAUCACGAGAUUCCUUUGUUCUGUAACAUUCUUUUUGGUCAAUAAAACAUUCUUUUCUUCCAACUUUUUAUCUUAUACAUAUUGGCUGUUGAGUUGUAGAUUGUAUCUUAUAUCUGGCUACUGGUUAAUGGGAAUUUCUGAUUUAACAGAUUGUAUCAUAUAUUUUUAUUGUAUUUUUUAGUCAACAUAAAUGGGCAGUUGCAGUUUUUAGAAGGAAAACUGGAAAACUGUUUGGAGUUGGUUCAAUAUCAUGAUGGGAUUGAAUGUGGGGGGUUUACGAGUGUUGAACCUUGUCCGAAGUCACGAGACACGUAAGGCCACUGUACUCUGUUGUUAUUUCCAUUAUUUUAUCUGUAACUAUUUUCCUUCGGCGGAAAUUAAAAAGUUGAGGCUGAUACGGUGGGACCCGGAAACUCGAAACCAUACAACUUUUCGUGUCAUAUCUAUUAUUUUGCAUGCAGUAGUAAUUUAUUUCAUUCACAAAGAGAAAGUGACAUUAAGAAGAGUGGGUCCACGAUGGAAACUAGAAAAUUUUUUAAUUAAAUUAUAAUUUUUAUGAUAGAAAAAAUGUAAUUUUAUUAUUUUAAUAGAUUAUAUUUUUAUUAUUUUAAAAAAAUAAUUUAAAAUUUUAUAAUUUAGGGUUUCAAUGACAUACUUAACUGCUACUUCUACUAUUCCCUUCAUUAUCUUCACGUGUUUUUUACAGGUUAUAUGUUUUACUUUUUGGUGGGAACAACCUUCUUCAUUCCGUACAAGGUAAAGCUCCUUAAACGGUGCCGUCCAGUCAAAACUAAUAGUACAUUUUAUGUUUAUAUAUUUAAACAUAACUUGCAUUCAGCAAAGAUGGAAUAGUUUGGCUAAAAGAAAGAACUUUUAACAUAUAAUGCAAUAAAAAAUAGAACAAUAUAAUGAUCACAAAUGACAUAGUUGGAGUUUGGGUGCGAAAUAAAUUUUUUUUUUUUUAAAAAGGAAAGAAUGAAGGAAAGUCUCAAAUGGGGGAAGGUAAAGAGGUUGGAUCAGCUGAAGAAGGAAUUUUAAGUCCAACCCUACAUCCUUCUAACAUGAAAACGAUAUCUGCCAUUGAUGGUCUAUCAAAUGGAUCUGUUGCAGUGCAAAGGAGUCCAACUUUGACACCUAACAAGAAUUCUUCCCACUCUGAUGAUUCAGGGUCUAACUCAACCAACCCUGGUUCCAACAACUCCGAAAUUUGCCCCUUUUGUAGUUGCUUCUUCACCCAUUUCACUAUGUCUUCAUCUUGUGUGAACAUUACCGGUUUUCUUCCUGUCAGGAUUUCUAAAACUACGAUGCCGAAACUGUACACGUCGGCUUCUUUGGAUGGUUGUCCUGUUAAUGAAGCUUCAGGUGCCAUGUAGCCUAGUGAACCAACUGGGGUUGAUGAUGAUGAAGCCUCUGCCGGGGUGGCUAUUGUCAGCUUCUCGAGUCCGAAUUCGGACAAAUGAGCUUCAAAAUCGGCAUCGAAGAGUACGUUUUGGGGUUUGAUAUCACCAUGAACUAUUGAUAAGGAGUGCAAAAUCGCUAGGCCGCGACCAAUACCAAGUGCGAUGAGAUGACGCAUUGGCCAAUUCAACAUAUGUCCAUCUUGGUGAUUUGCCUCUUGGAGGAGGGUGCCUAGGUUUCCAUUAGGCAUGUAGUCAUAAACAAGGAGCCUUAAGUCUGGUGGUCCGGCAUAAUAGCCUCGUAGAACCGUUAUGUUUCGAUGCUUUACCUUGCCAAGCAAUUCGGCUUCUUUUCGAAAUGUACAUUCAUCGAUGGAUCCAUCAACAAGGCGACGGAUUGAUAGGACUGUUCCGUCUUGAUAGGUCGCCUUGAACACAAGUCCAUAUCUUCCUCUGCUCAUGACAUUUUCCUCAUCGAAUUGCCUUGUUGCUUCUAAUGUCUCUGCCAGCGUUAUCUUGUUAUUAAACAUAACUAAUUUCGGACCUCCAUUUUCGCCGCCCCCACGAUCCCUAUCUGCUACCGAACUCGCACUGGCUGGACUUCUUUUCUUCUCCCCAUUUCCCCAUUCUCUGAGCCUCUUGCGCCAGCGUAAAAGGCCGUAAAUAUAUCCACAACAGAACACUGCAACAAAGAAAGCUCCACCAGCAGCUAUAACAAUUAAUAGAAUCAGCUUCCUACGUUUUCUGUUUCUCACAUUUGCACAUUCUUUCUUCAAUGGCUUACCACAUAGUUCUCUGUUCAUCGAAAACACGGAAGGAUCAUCGAAAUGAGAACCGAGUGCACUCGGGAUCUCACCUUCAAGAUAGUUUCUUGACAAAUUCAGGUGCUUCAAGCUAAUCAUGUUUGAAAGGCUUGAUGGGAUGGAUCCGCUCAAGUUAUUUGAUGAAAGAUUCAAAGCUGUUAGAUUGGAUAGUUUUGACAAUAAUUCUGGUAUGUUUCCUGAUAGGUGAUUUCCAUCCAGGAAAAGAGUAGUAAUAGAUGAAAAUCUGGAGAUUUCAUCUGGGAUUUCACCAUCUAAAUGAUUCAAACCCAAAUCAAGCUCUUUCAAAUGAGAUAAUCGAGAGAGAUCACCUGGGAUAUUGCCACUCAAACGAUUCGAACGAAGCUGAAGUACUUCAAGAUCAGAACAAUUAUCAAGCUCCAAGGGAACCAUACCUGAAACUCGAUUAAAGCUGACCGAAAGCACAACCAAUGACUGCAAUAAACCAUAGCUACUCGGAAUCUGACCAGUGAAUCCAUUAGAACUGAGAUUCAAGUACUGCAAAUCAACCAAGUUGGUGAAACCUUCAGGAACAUCACCAGACAACCUGUUUUCUUGAAAAGCAACAACCUGCAAACUUGGUAACCCGAAAAGCUCAAUUGGCAGCUCUCCAGAAAUCUGCUGCUUGCUAAAAUCAAGAGAAGUUAAUUUCAUCAUGUUCCCAAUACUCCCUGGAAUCGCACCGGCAAAUCCACAGGAACUUAAAUUUAAAACCACCAAACUCAAUAAAUCCCCCAAACCAACAGGAAUUUCUCCAGAAAAUUUGUUAUUGCUGAGGUUUAAAGUAGUUAAAUUACUCAACCGCAUUAUAUCUUCGGGGACCUUUCCGGUGAAAUUAUUUCCGCUCAAAUUCAACGUUUCAAGCCCCGAAAUGUUCCCAAACCCGUACGGGAUUGACCCAGAAAAUAGAUUUCUCCCCAACGAUAGACUUUUCAAGCUCUUCAUUUGACUGAAAAAAAUCGGCAUUUGCCCGGAAAAUCGGUUUCCUUCAAAAUCGACGACCUUUAACGAGCCACACUGUAGGAGCUGAGUGGGAACCGAACCGGUCAACGAGUUGUUCGCCACUCUAAGAUCUUCUAACUUAAAAAGGUUGCCUAUUUCAACUGGUAAUAAACCAGUGAAGAAGUUUCUAGAAAUAUCCAAUAUUCUCAACGUGGUCAAAGUGGUCAACCAAGAGGGAAAAACACCGUGGAUUUUAUUCUCGUGAAGGUCCAAAACCUCCAAAACUGCAACGCAACUUUGGUUAUUUUGCGGCUUAACGAAUUCCGUGAACUCAUUAAAUGCAAACUGCAGGAUCCUCAACGACGGCGUAAAAUUCCCCGACGAUUUACAGAAAAUGCUUUCGGGAACAGCACCGGAAAGUCUGUUAUGCGAUAAUGCUAGCACUUGAAGAUUCGGAACCGCACCGAUACUUCCCGGAACAAGUCCUUUAAGCUUAUUAUCUUGUGCGCUUAAAUGUACCAGCGAAGAGCAGUUCGCUAUAGCCGACGGUAAUGUACCAUACAACUGGUUCGAGUCAAGCCAAAGGUACUGUAGUUCUUGGAGCUUGCCUAUACUCGCCGGAAUGCCACCGGAAAACCGGUUGUAUGAGAAGUUGAUAAGUUGGAGCUGAGACUGUGCCGAGAAAUUUGACGGUAGUUCUCCGGAGAAAUCGUUUGAGGAUAAAUCGAGGUACCGGAGGGACCAAUGGAAAUCGGAGGCGAUUUUUCCGGUUAGAUAAUUAUGAGCUACAUUGAGGACUUGUAAAUUGGUGAGGUUAAAAAUGGAAGGCGGGAGGUUGCCGGAGAGUGAGUUGUAGUGCAAGUAAACAGCGCGUAAGAGAGCGCAUUGGGCAAGAGCGUUAGGGAUGUCGCCGUUGAAGUUGUUAGAAUGGAGGUUUAAUUUGCGGAGCUCACGUAAGUUGGAUAAUUGAUCACUGAGUUGGCCACCGAGUUGGAGGCGAGGCAAAUUGAGCUCGCGGACUCGGUUGUUGUAACAAACAAUGCCACGCCAGUCGCAGGGAGCUGAUGGCGUGAGCGCAUCCCAGCCGUCGAGAGCACCAAGUGGGUCUUGGAAAACACUGCGUUUAAAGGACGUAAGCGCACGGAUCUCCGCUAGAGUAACGGCACUGUGUUGUUGAGCGUAAGAAGAUGGUACGACGACGUUGGAGAUGAAGAAGGUGAGGGAGAGAAGAAUAAUAGUAGCCGUUAUUUCCAUAGAGAAGAAAUGGAAAGUACAAAAAAACUGAAAGAGUUUUUAUCGUAUACAUAUUGGCUGUUGAGUUGUAGAUUGUAUCUUAUAUCUGGCUACUGGUUAAUGGGAAUUUCUGAUUUAACAGAUUGUAUCAUUUAUUUUUAGUGUAUUUAAUUUUUAUUCAACAAAAAUGGGCAGUUGCAGUUUUUAGAAGGAAAACUGGAAAACUGUUUGGAGUUGGUUCAAUAUCAUGAUGGGAUUCACGAGACACGUAAGGCCACUGUACUCUGUUGUUAUUUCCAUUAUUUUCCUUUGGCAGAAAUUAAAAAGUUGAGGCUGAUACGGUGGGACCCGCAAACUCGAAACCAUACAACUUUUCGUGUCAUAUCUAUUAUUUUGCAUGCAGUAGUAAUUUAUUUCAUUCACAAAGAGAAAGUGACAUUAAGAAGAGUGGGUCUUUUUUAAUUAAAUUAUAAUUUUUAUGAUAUUAAAAAAUAUAAUUUUAUUAUUUUAGUAGAUUAUAUUUUUAUUAUUUUAAAAAAAUAAUUUAAAAUUUUAUAGUUUAGGGUUUCAAUAACAUACUUAACGGCUACUUCUAUCAUUCUCUUCAUUAUCUUCACGUGUCUUUUACAGGUUAUAUGUUUUACUUUUUGGUGGGAACGACUUUCUUCAUUCCGUACAAGGUAAAGCUCCUUAAACGGUGUGGUCGAGUCAAAGCUAAUACUACAUUUUAUGUUUAUAUAUUUAAACAUAACUCGCAUACAGCAAAAUGGAAUAGUUUGGCUAAAAGAAAGAACUUUUAACAUAUAAUGCAAUAAAAAAUAGAACAAUAUAAUGAUCACAAAUGACAUCGUUGGAGUUUGGGUGCGAAAUAAUUUUUUUUUUUUAAAAAAAAAGGAAAGAAGGAAGGAAAAUCUCAAAUGGGGGAAGGUAAAGAGGUUGGAUCUCUCUUGUUGCUCUUGGUACAUUUCUGUAGAUCCACAAUAAAGAAGCAGGUAUCGUUAACAACCAUGAAUUUAUCUAUGCAUCAAUUAUAUGAGAAAAAAAUAAAAUAAAAUAAAAAGAGAAUAAUGCCCUUGUAAUGUUCUCAAAGCUUCACUCUGGUGUAAAAUGCCAGUGAAUAGGCAUACAUUCAUAAGUGCAUGGCAUCUAAUCAAAACUAGGGGAACACAGUUUUCAAAAUUUGGUGCUGACUAAUUUAAGAGCCAUAGAAUAUGAACGACUAGCUUGUAUCUAGCAACAAGAGAUGAGUUCAGGUUUUUAGAAGACACUACUAAGUUUCAUUUCUUUUUUCUACAUUUUUUUUCUGUGAAUAGUGCAUCUGAAUGGAAAGUGCCAACAACAUUAAUAUACGGGACCGAAGAUUGGGUGAACUAUCAAGGAGCCCAAGACACUACUAAGGUUUGUUCACUUCUGCCAUACAUAAGAAGUCAACAGACAUUGUGCAUUUUUCCAUGUAAACCUUUUAUAUUAAUGGAACCUUAAAUGGAGUAAGUUAGAACCCAAAUGGCUAUAUCUUCCUGUCAGACUCCUUAUCUUGGCUGCAUUUCUGUCAUAUACAGGGUGGACAUUUCGUGUUCCUUGAAAACACAGAGGGAUUCCAUUCGGCCGUGUCAUAUGUGCAUGUAGGAGAUUUCUCUCACCUAACCCUGAUACUCAACCCUUGCCUUAAGGCUUGGAAUCAGCUUAGAAUAAAGUAUUGUAAUUUCUUCACCCACACUUUUUUGUAUAAUAC